rnacentral:misc_RNA from 1 species
GGAAGGAUCAUUAACACGAUCUAAAAAAUUCAUUUAACCUUGUGUUAACCUGUUACUCUGUCUUUUUUUAAAUCCCAUUUUUUAAACAUUUUUUAUUUCUUGAUUAAUUAUUUAUUGGGUUUUCGGAUCCAACAAAUAACAUCAAAUUAAAAAACAACUGCUAACAUUGGAUGUCUUGGUUCUCGCAACGAUGAAGAACGCAGCGAAAUGCGAUAAGUAGUGUGAAUCGUAGAAUUCAGUGAAUCAUCAAAUCUUUGAACGCAAAUGGCACUUCUGGGCACUCCCAGGAGUAUGCCUGUUUGAGAAUCAUUCUUUAAUCUCAUUCUUUCAAUUUUAAUUAAUUGAGAAUGGUAAAUGAGCUUCAAUUUCUUUCGAAUUUUGUGGCUCUAAGUAGAUUCAUGCUCGCUAAGUAUUUCGAGCUCAAACUGAGUGUUGGUGAGGUCCUUUUAACAGGGUCAUUUACUUUAAUACUCGGCAUUGGGCUUGAGGUAUGAGCAUAUUCGCAUAUAACAAUUUUCAAACCAUGAUCUCAAAUCAGGCAAGGCUACCCGCCGAAUUGAAGCAUCUCAAUAAGCGGAGGAAAAGAAACUAACUAGGAUUCCCUUAGUAACGGCGAGUGAAGCGGGAAUAGCUCAAUCUUUAAAUCGGAGGGUUCUGCUCUUCGAGUUGUAGAUUAGAGAGGCGUGUUCGAGGGAAAUCCCAGGUAUAAGUCUCCUAGAACGGAGCAUCAUAGAGGGUGACAAUCCCGUAUAUGAUCUGGGCAUUUUUCUCAUACGACGCGCUUUCGCAGAGUCGAGUUGCUUGGGAGUGCAGCUCUAAACGGGUGGUAAAUUUCAUCUAAAGCUAAAUAUUGGCGAGAGACCGAUAGCGAACAAGUACCGCGAGGGAAAGAUGAAAAGAACUUUGAAAAGAGAGUCAAAAGGGCCUGAAAUUGUUAGCAGGGAAACGAAUAAAACUGGGCAUACGCUCUAGGAUCCGGUUGGGUCUCGCGGGCAGCUCCGCGGUCUAGGCGAUCGUAAGACGCCUGGGCUGUGCAUCUGUUCGCGGCCUGGCUUACCUUCUUGGAGUGUGCGCCAACAUCAGUUAGGACUUCAGGUGACGUCCUUUGGGCAGGUAGGUUGGCCCUCAAAAAGCUGACUGUUAUAGCCCAGGGGAACUACUGUUGGCUUGACUGAGGCACUCUUUCAGCGCGCGCUUAGCUUGAGACUCCUGGUCUGUCAGUUUGUGGGUUACCGGACAGCCUAGCUGUGCGGGGCUCAUGGGUUGGCAAUUUCUGGGAAGUCUUUCAUACGCGCGCUCAAGAUGUUGGCAUAACGGUUUUAUCCGACCCGUCUUGAAACACGGACCAAGGAGUCUAACAUAUAUGCGAGUAUUUGGGUGCCAAAACCCAAGUGCGGAAUGAAAGUAAAUCCUGGUGCGAGCCUUGGCUCAGCCUUGGUGCAGCACCGACCGAUCUGGAGGUUUUCUGAAAGAUUUGAGUAAGAGCAUAUCUGUUGGGACCCGAAAGAUGGUGAACUAUGCCUGAAGAGGAUGAAGCCAGAGGAAACUCUGGUGGAGGUCCGUAGCGGUUCUGACGUGCAAAUCGAUCGUCAAAUUUGGGUAUAGAGGCGAAAGACUAAUCGAACCAUCUAGUAGCUGGUUCCCUC